rnacentral:rRNA from 1 species
UACGAAGGGGGCUAGCGUUGUUCGGAUUUACUGGGCGUAAAGCGCACGUAGGCGGCCAACUAAGUCGGAUGUGAAAUCCCCAGGCUUAACCUGGGAACUGCAUCCGAUACUGGAUGGCUUGAAUCCGGGAGAGGGAUGCGGAAUUCCAGGUGUAGCGGUGAAAUGCGUAGAUAUCUGGAGGAACACCGGUGGCGAAGGCGGCAUCCUGGACCGGCAUUGACGCUGAGGAGCGAAAGCCAAGGGAGCAAACGGG